CUCUGGAAAGCAGCCGGCGGCAUCGCGUCGCCGGCUCACCGACGGGGGUAAGCUCGCGGGAUCUGCCGCGGCGAAAUCUCUCAGGUCCUGCGACAGAG
rnacentral:ncRNA from 2 species